AUUGAACGCUGGCGGCAGGCCUAACACAUGCAAGUCGAACGAGAGGCGGACGGGUGAGUAAUGUCUGGGAAACUGCCUGAUGGAGGGGGAUAACUACUGGAAACGGUAGCUAAUACCGCAUACCAUCAGAUGUGCCCAGAUGGGAGUAGCUAGUUGGUGGGGUAACGGCUCACCAAGGCGACGAUCCCUAGCUGGUCUGAGAGGAUGACCGGCCACACUGGAACUGAGACACGGCCCAGACUCCUACGGGAGGCAGCAGUGGGGAAUCUUGCACAAUGGGCGCAAGCCUGACGCAGCAAUGCCGCGUGAAUGAAGAAGGCUUUCGGGUUGUAAAGUACUUUUAGCGGGGAGGCGUUACCCGCAGAAGAAGCACCGGCUAACUCCGUGCCAGCAGCCGCGGUAAUAC
rnacentral:rRNA from 1 species